UUCAGGGGGUGCAAACGUUGCUCGGAAUUAUUGGGCGUAAAGCGCGCGUAGGCGGCUACUUAAGUCGGAUGUGAAAGCCCUUGGCUCAACUGAGGAAGUGCACCCGAAACUGAGUGGCUAGAGUACGAAAGAGGGUCGCGGAAUUCCCGGUGUAGAGGUGAAAUGCGUAGAUAUCAGGAGGAACACCUGCGGUGUAGACGGCUUACUGGACCAUAACUGACGCUGAGGCACGAAAGCGUGGGUAGCAAACAGG
rnacentral:rRNA from 1 species